AACGAACGCUGGCGGCAGGCUUAACACAUGCAAGUCGAACGCCCCGCAAGGGGAGUGGCAGACGGGUGAGUAACGCGUGGGAAUCUACCCAGAACUUCGGAACAACUGAGGGAAACUUCAGCUAAUACCGGAUACGCCCUACGGGGGAAGAUUUAUCGGUUCUGGAUGAGCCCGCGUUGGAUUAGCCAGUUGGUGGGGUAAUGGCCUACCAAGGCGACGAUCCAUAGCUGGUCUGAGAGGAGAUCAGCCACACUGGGACUGAGACACGGCCCAGACUCCUACGGGAGGCAGCAGUGGGAAUAUUGCGCAAUGGCCGAAAGGCUGACGCAGCGACGCCGCGU
rnacentral:rRNA from 1 species